rnacentral:lncRNA from 1 species
CAACAUCCCCAUGAGGUAGGCAGGGUGCUUCCAGGUGAGGCAAGUGAGGCUCAGUGAGAGGAAGAGACUGUUCUCUCCAGCGCAUCACUGGCAGUCAGAUAAGAGCCCAGGACUCCAAGGCACACAAAACAGGAAGCCAGUUUCCAGUGACUCAGCAGAUCCACCACGGAGUGCCAGGCCAUGUGCAGGGCUCUGGGCUCAGAGAGAACGAUUGUUCAUGUGCCUGUGACCAUGAGAAGUUCAUAGUCAGAUGGCGGAGGCAGACCUGCCAGCAACACACACCACCCACCUGCAAAGCGCCAGAUGAGAGGUCACAGCAAUGGCUGCCAUUCCAUGACCACCUGCUGUCAACAGCGCUACUCAGUUAGGGCCUACUGUGUGCCAGCCUGGGGCCAGGAGAGUCACAGGUGUUGUCAUUAGCUCUCACAACAACCUUCCUUGUUGGAAUGUAAUUUAUUCUGAACAGCUUUAUUGAUGUAUAAUUUGCGUACAGUAAACGAUGCAUAUUUAAAGUAUAAAAUUGCAUACCUUUGACAUGUAAACACCCAUGAAAUCAUCAUAAUCAAGAUAAUGAGUUCCCUCACACCCCUUAGCAAUCUCUCUCUUUUGCUCCCUGUCCCCAUUCCCAAUCACUGAUCUGCUGUGACUAUAAAUUAGUUUGUAUUUUCAAGAGUUUUAUAUAAAUGAAAUAUUUCAGUAUGUCUGGCUUCUUUCACUCACAAUAAUUAUUUUGAGAAUCAUUCCUGAUACAGCACAUGUGAACAGUCCAUCAACAGUCCAUUCCUUUUUGUAGAUGAGUAGUAUCCCAUUGUAUGGAGAUCCCACAAUUAUUUGUAUCCAUUGUUUGAUGAACACGUGAACUGUGUCCAGGUUGUGGCUCUUACAAAUAGAGCAGCUAUGAAAGAAUGUUCAUUCAGGUAUAAGUCUUUGUGUGGACAAACGCUGACAUUUGUCUUGGAUAAAUUCCUCGGAGUGGAAUUACUAUACCAUCUGAUAAGUGUAUUUUCAACUUUUUAAGAAACUACCAAACUGUUUUCCAAAAUGGUUGUAUUAUUUUAUAUCAUCACCAAGAGUGCCAGAGAGCUCCAUUUCCUCCACAUCCUUGCCAGCACAUGAUAUGUUCAGUCUUCAUAAUUUUAGCCAUUCUAAUAAAUAUGUAGUAACAUCUCACUGUAGUGUUAACUUUUGAUUCCCUAAUAACCAAAGGGUCAGAGCAUCUUUUCAUUUGUUUGUCAUCUGUAUAUCUUCUGUGAUAAAGUGUCUGUUCAGGUCUUUUGCUAUUUUUUGUUGGGUUUUUUACUGAGUUUUGAGAAUCUUUGUAUAUUCUGGAUAAAAGUCCUUUACUAAAUAUAUGCCUUGCAAAUAUCUUCCCCUAGGUUGUGUCUUCUCUUUUCAUUCUCCUAUCGGAGUCUUUUAAAGAGCAAUGGUUUUUUUCUUUUGAUGACGUCCAACUUAUCAUUUUGUUCUUUUAUGGAUCAUACUUUUUCUGCCACAUUGAAGCAAUCUUGAUCUAAAAUAAGGCUGUAAAAUUUUUUCUAUGUUGUCUUCAAGUUGUUUUGUAGUUUUAAAUUUUACAUUUAGAUCUAUCAUACAUUUCCAGUCAAUUUUUGUAUAUGGUACAAGGUAGGGAUCAAAGUUUCCUUUUUGUUUGUUUGCUUUGUUUUAUGACUAUCCAGUUGUUCCUCCACCAUUUGUUGAGGAGACUAUUCUUACUCUCCUGAAUUGCCUUCAUGCUGUGGUCAAAAAUCACUUGUAAAUCUUUACAUAAGUUUAUUUCUAGACCCUCUACUGUUUCACUGAUCUAUUUAUCUUGACGCCAAUAUCUCCUGCUUUGAUUGCUGUAACUUUAUAAUUCAAAAUUGGGGACUGAAUCUGUACUUCUUUUUUUGUUCGUUUUGGCUUGUUUUUAAGACAGGGUCUCACUCUGUUGCCCAGGCUGGAGUACAGUGGCAUAAACAAGGCCCACUGCAGGCCUGAAUUCCUGGGCUCGUGUGAUCCUCCCACCUCAGCGUCCAGAGUAGCUGGGACUGCAAGCACGUGCCACCAUGCCCAGCUAAUUUUUUUUAUUUUUGUUUUUUGGAGAGACAGGUUCUCACUAUGUUGCUCAGGGUGGUCUCAAAUCCCUGGGUUCAAGCGAUCCUCUCACCUUGGCCUCCCAAAUUGCUGGGAUUACAGACAUGAGCCACCACGCCUGAACCUUAACCUGUACUUCUUUUACAAAGUUGCUUUGGCUUUUAUAGGUCCUUUGAAUUUCCAUGUGCAUUUAGAAUCUGCUUCUCAAUUUCUACAAAAAAAA